GUACAAUGUUCAGAUUUCAACUCUGUUAGACUUCGGGGACCAAAAAGUUCUAGUGGCAUAGGUCGUGUGGAAGUAUUUUUCAAUGGAGAAUGGGGAACAAUUUGUGAUGACGGCUGGGAUUUAAAGGAUGCUAAAGUUGUCUGUCGAGAACUUGGUUAUGACUAUGCUGUCAGGGCUUUACAUGGAGGUGAUGUUUCUUAUGGCAGUGGAAGAAUAUGGUUAGACGAAGUUCGUUGUGUAGGA